AACGAACGCUGGCGGCAUGCCUAACACAUGCAAGUCGAACGAGACCUUCGGGUCUAGUGGCGCACGGGUGCGUAACGCGUGGGAACCUGCCCUUAGGUUCGGAAUAACUCCCCGAAAGGGGUGCUAAUACCGGAUAAUGUCUUCGGACCAAAGAUUUAUCGCCUUUGGAUGGGCCCGCGUUGGAUUAGCUAGUUGGUAGGGUAAUAGCCUACCGAGGCGACGAUCCAUAGCUGGUCUGAGAGGAUGAUCAGCCACACUGGGACUGAGACACGGCCCAGACUCCUACGGGAGGCAGCAGUGGGGAAUAUUGGACAAUGGGCGAAAGCCUGAUCCAGCAAUGCCGCGUGAGUGAUGAAGGCCUUAGGGUUGUAAAGCUCUUUUACCCGGGAUGAUAAUGACAGUACCGGGAGAAUAAGCUCCGGCUAACUCCGUG
rnacentral:rRNA from 1 species